GGGCCCGCACAAGCAGUGGAGUAUGUGGUUUAAUUCGAAGCAACGCGAAGAACCUUACCGGGGCUUGACAUCCCUAGAACCCCCAAGAAAUUGGGGGGCGCCCUCGGGAACUAGGAGACAGGUGGUGCAUGGUUGUCGUCAGCUCGUGUCGUGAGAUGUUGGGUUAAGUCCCGCAACGAGCGCAACCCUUAUUGUCAGUUGCCAGCAUUAAGUUGGGCUCUCUGACGAGACUGCCGUUGACAAAACGGAGGAAGGCGGGGACGAGGUCAAAUCAUCAUGCCCCUUAUGUCCCGGGCUACACACGUACUACAAUGGCCGACACAAAAAGAAGCGAUGGAGCGAUCCGGAGCAAAUCUCAAAAAGACGGCCUCAGUUCAGAUCGUAGGCUGAAACUCGCCUGCGUGAAGUAGGAAUUGCUAGUAAUCGCGAAUCAGCAUGUCG
rnacentral:rRNA from 1 species